AUUGAACGCUGGCGGCAUGCUUUACACAUGCAAGUCAAACGGUAACAGGUUAAGCUGACGAGUGGCGAACGGGUGAGUAAUGCAUCGGAACGUGCCCGGUCGUGGGGGAUAACGCAGCGAAAGCUGCGCUGAUACCGCAUACGAUCUGAGGAUGAAAGCGGGGGACCGUAAGGCCUCGCGCGAUCGGAGCGGCCGAUGUCAGAUUAGGUAGUUGGUGGGGUAAAGGCUCACCAAGCCAACGAUCUGCAGCUGGUCUGAGAGGACGACCAGCCACACUGGGACUGAGACACGGCCCAGACUCCUACGGGAGGCAGCAGUGGGGAAUUUUGGACAAUGGGCGAAAGCCUGAUCCAGCAAUGCCGCGUGCAGGAAGAAGGCCUUCGGGUUGUAAACUGCUUUUGUACGGAGCGAAAAGGUCUCCUCUAAUACAGGGGGCUCAUGACGGUACCGUAAGAAUAAGCACCGGCUAACUACGUGCCAGCCGCCGCGGUAA
rnacentral:rRNA from 1 species